rnacentral:rRNA from 1 species
UACGUAGGGGCCUAGCGUUGUCCGGAUUUAUUGGGCGUAAAGAGCUCGUAGGCGGUUUGGUGAGUCGGGUGUGAAAUCUCCACGCUCAACGUGGAGGAGCCACCCGAUACUGCCAUGACUAGAGUCCGGUAGGGGAGUGUGGAAUUCCCGGUGUAGCGGUGAAAUGCGCAGAUAUCGGGAGGAACACCAGUAGCGAAGGCGAUACUCUGGGCCGGUACUGACGCUGAGGAGCGAAAGCGUGGGGAGCAAACAGG